UCUCAAUAUUUCUCUUUCUUUCUCGUUCCUCUUCUUCCCGUUCUUUCUUCUUUUCUUCCUGUUUUCGCCAGCGAGAGUUUUUAGAGUUAAGAGUGAGUUUUGAUUGAAGAAGAUCGGUGAUGGAGUUGUAUGAAUGUUAUAGGAUCCAAGGUUGUUGUUGAUGAAGAAGAAAAAAUGAAUCAAAGAACCAAGUUAGGAUUUUUAGUGAAUGGGAAUUAGGUUUCUUAAUAAGCUCAUAAAAGAUGUAGAUGAUGCAGUUGACAGUUUUGGGAGAAGAUUGGAUAUGGGUUUGGUUGAUCCGAAGAUUUAAUUGUUGUCUUGGGUUCGAAUUAAAGAAGCUACGGGUUGUAAGAUGAACUCUGAGAAUGGUGAGAAGAUGAAAUAGAUGGGUAAAUGAGUUGCUGAUAAUCAAACAACAAAGGGUUUAUUGUUUAAUUGAUGAUGUGAGUCGGUGUUGUUGAUGAAUCAGGAAGUUAGGGUUUCUCAGAGAAUCGAAUUGGAGUUCAAUUAGGUGAUGAUUAACAUGGAAUUAGAGACGGGUUUAUGUGUAUCAAGGUUUAGAGUUGAAGAAUUAGGGUUUGAUUAUGUUUAUUGAAGAGUAUUGGGAAUUGGAUGUGAUGAAAAGUUGCAGAUGGAAAAUAAGAAUGGUGUUGAACAAUUAACAAAGGAAGAAGAUUUCUGAGUUUGAGUUGUCUUUUGAGUGUGUGGGUGAACCAAUGGUGAUAUUGAGUUGCAAUAGUUGAAGAUUAAGAGGGUUGUUGAUGAUUGUGGAAGCAGCAAAUGGGUAUUUGAUGUUGAUUGAGAUUGAACUAAAUGAGCAGAGCAGAUUGGUUAGUUUUAAGGAGUUGGACUUGUAUUGGAGGUAACUGUUCUUAUUAGGUACCUCGGUAAUGUUAUUUGAUUUUCAUUUCUAAGUUUUAAGUUUGUUAAUUAGAAUAAGAAUGAGAUGAUUCUGCAGGUGGUUGUAAUUGAGUAUGUUAGAGGUCUGUUAUUGAAUUGUAGUCGAGUCUUGCUCAGACACGCAGGGGAGUUGGAUGAAUGAAUUAGGAAUUGGCGAAUGUUGACUGGACACUACAUCCAUGAGGUGAACUGUGUAAGGAGAAUAGAGUGUGAAGUUAGAGGAGAUGUUGAUGUUUUCUUGGAAAUGAAGCCUCAGGUGAUGAACAUGAAGAAGUUGAUAUUGUUGUGUGUAUUGUGAAUUAAAGUUUGUAUAGAAUGAAUCGGUUUUGGAUGAUUGAUUGUGAUGUGAGAUUGCAGGCGAUAUUGAACUGGUGGUGCUGGAGUGGUUAAGAUGGAUAUGCUGAUGUUUUUUUGGUGUGGUCAUGAGAGUUGUAUUGUAGUAGUUUAUAGAAUGAAUGGUUCCUGAAGUUCAGUCCAUGAAGAAUGAUGAAUUCAGAGUUGUAGAUUGUUUUUGUUGUGAAAGCUGGUUACUGCUUUUACAGUUAGUCUGUAUUAACAAUGAUCGAUUCAAAGGAUGAACCAGUGGAUCGUGGAUCUCGAGGUAGGCGUGGCUUGUCAUCAAAAGAGUUUCAGAGACAGAUCAGAGUUGCGCAGCGAAAGAUUUGAGGAGUUGAGUCUGUUAGUUGGUUGACUUUUACUAUAUUUAUUAUAUUACACGUUGUAUUUGUAAACCAAAUGACCAUUGUAUAUGUAUCAUUUGAGAGGAGUUCUUUUACAUAUAUAUUUCUGAGCGGGCUAGUUUUGGGUUAAGUUUUGUAGCAGAUUUCUGAAUUGAAUGUUUAAGUAAUUGAUUUAGAUUUUAGUGCCUCUUAUUUAGCUAAUCACUUGGAUUAGUCAACUGCUAGCUUUGUGGUAUGAAUUAGUCUCUCGCUUCUUCUACAAAGUUGUAGAUAUUCAUGGAACCAACCUAAUUGAAUUUAGUAAACCUUAGAUAUGCUAAGAUAGAGAAUGAAAAUGUGUAAG